rnacentral:misc_RNA from 1 species
GUGAAUCAUCGAAUCUUUGAACGCAAAUUGCACUCUCUUCGGAGAGUAUGCCUGUUUGAGGGUCAGAAUUAAUAAAAAUUGUCGAUUUGCUGCGUUGUCGCUCUCCGGAUUUUGGAUCAUCUUAAUAUCCUUUAGGCUUUAAGAGGCUUAAAAUUGACUUUUUUUUCGCAUUGUAGGUGUACAUAAAUUCUUUUUUUUAUUCGUCUGGCGUAAUGCUCGAAAUCCUAUUGGAUGCGACCAUAUCGUGUAGUUUGGCGUCUAUAAAUUUUUCAUGAUUUGACCUCAAAUCAGGUA